UCUGUACAUGACACCGAGCAGUGGAGAGGAGCCGCAGCUGCCCUCACUGUCAGCGCCGAGAUAACCAAGCUUCACGAGGGGGAAGAAGUCAUGUGGGAAAAGCCUUAUCUCGUAGCCAGAUGAGAGCUCUGGGCCUCUCCUGAGCACCAGCUCCUGAUAAGAGACAUAACCGAAUACAAGAUGACGAGAAAGAGAGAAGAGGAGAGAAAAGAGGAGGGAGGAGCAGACAGCGAGCAGAGAGAGAUAAAAAUCCAUGUCCAGGCGUUGCCGGGACAUGCUGCUUUAAUAGAAGCUGUCAGUCAAUGUCAGGACACUGGGCAAUAAGACGGCUGACUGCAAUAAACACGCAGGGAAGAAGAUAACACAGCACUGUGGAAGACCAGCCCCUUGUUAACUGGCUGCCCACCGCCUGUGCCCUGUUUGUCAUUUUCUUUUGUGUAACACUCAUAAUUUGUCAUGGUGGGUGGUUAUCAGAUCGCUCUUGUGUGUCUCUAUCUUAUUUUUUAUUUAUUUUUUUAUUUGUGUGCUUGUGUGUAUUUUUCAUCCUCCUCUAAAUCGCCCUUUGAACAGAGGUGAGGUGAAAAAUGGAUAAUGUUGGAGGAGGGACACUUGUAAAUAAUGUGUAUCAUCUUGACACGACGGAUCCAUGCUGAGAUCGAUGUGGGUAUACAUUGCUGUAGUGUGUGUGUGUGUAAAUGAACAGAGGGCGUCCCGGGCAGAUGGAGACAUCUGUUGAUUUCACAAGAAACAAGAUGUUUACAUGGAAUACAUGAGCAUGCUCCUGUCUCACUCUUCAGUGGGUGUUUAGAUUUUGGUUUGCAUCAAUAAAUUUGUUUUUCCUCCA